rnacentral:tRNA from 1 species
GGAGAUGUACCCAAGUGGCUGAAGGGUCCGCACUCGAAAUGCGGUAGGCCGGCAUUCCCGGUGCGAGGGUUCAAAUCCCUCCAUCUCCG